rnacentral:rRNA from 1 species
AGCCCUGAACUUAAGCAUAUCAAUAAGCGGAGGAAAAGAAACCAACAGGGAUUGCCCUAGUAACGGCGAGUGAAGCGGCAACAGCUCAAAUUUGAAAUCUGGCUCUUUUAGAGUCCGAGUUGUAAUUUGCAGAGGGCGCUUUGGCUUUGGCAGCGGUCCAAGUUCCUUGGAACAGGACGUCACAGAGGGUGAGAAUCCCGUACGUGGUCGCUGGCUAUUGCCGUGUAAAGCCCCUUCGACGAGUCGAGUUGUUUGGGAAUGCAGCUCUAAAUGGGAGGUACAUUUCUUCUAAAGCUAAAUAUUGGCCAGAGACCGAUAGCGCACAAGUAGAGUGAUCGAAAGAUGAAAAGCACUUUGGAAAGAGAGUCAAACAGCACGUGAAAUUGUUGAAAGGGAAGCGCUUGCAGCCAGACUUGCUUACAGUUGCUCAUCCGGGUUUCUACCCGGUGCACUCUUCUGUAGGCAGGCCAGCAUCAGUUUGGGCGGUAGGAUAAAGGUCUCUGUCACGUACCUCCUUUCGGGGAGGCCUUAUAGGGGAGACGACAUACUACCAGCCUGGACUGAGGUCCGCGCAUCUGCUAGGAUGCUGGCGUAAUGGCUGUAAGCGGCCCGUCUUGAAACACGGACCAAGGAGUCUAACAUCUAUGCGAGUGUUUGGGUGUCAAGCCCGAGCGCGUAAUGAAAGUGAACGGAGGUGGGAACCCGCAAGGGUGCACCAUCGACCGAUCCUGAUGUCUUCGGAAGGAUUUGAGUAAGAGCAUGGCUGUUGGGACCCGAAAGAUGGUGAACUAUGCUUGAAUAGGGUGAAGCCAGAGGAAACUCUGGUGGAGGCUCGCAGCGGUUCUGACGUGCAAAUCGAUCGUCAAAUUUGGGCAUAGGGGCGAAAGACUAAUCGAACUAUCUAGUAGCUGGUUCCUGCCGAAGUUUUCCCUCAGGAA